UUUUUCCUACGGGAGGCAGCAGUGGGGAAUAUUGCACAAUGGGCGCAAGCCUGAUGCAGCCAUGCCGCGUGUAUGAAGAAGGCCUUCGGGUUGUAAAGUACUUUCAGCAGUGAGGAAGGUGGAGUCGUUAAUAGCGGCCUCAUUGACGUAGCUGCAGAGAAGACCCAU
rnacentral:rRNA from 1 species